UACAGAGGUGGCAAGCGUUGUUCGGAAUUACUGGGCGUAAAGGGCGCGUAGGCGGUUCGAUAAGUCCCGUGUGAAAUCCCUCGGCUCAACUGAGGAACUGCACGGGAAACUGACGGGCUUGAGUUCGGGAGAGGGAAGCGGAAUUCCGGGUGUAGCGGUGAAAUGCGUAGAUAUCGAGAGGAACACCUGCGGCGAAGGCGACUACCUGGCCUGUUCUUGACGCUGAGGCGCGAAAGCUAGGGGAGCAAACGGG
rnacentral:rRNA from 1 species